GAGUUUGAUUCUGGCUCAGAACGAACGCUGGUGGCGUGCUUAUACAUGCAAGUCGAGCGAGGCAGCAAUGCCGAGCGGCGAACGGGUGAGUAACGCGUAAGCAAUCUGCCCCAUAUCAGGAAAUACCCGUGCCAACGCGCGGUUAAUGUCCAGGAGAGUGGCCUUCUGCAUGGAAGGUUGACUAGAGAUUUAUCGGUAUGGGAUGAGCUUGCGUCCGAUUAGCUAGUUGGCGGGGCAACGGCCCACCAAGGCGACGAUCGGUAGCCGGCCUGAGAGGGUGAUCGGCCACAUUGGGACUGAGAUACGGCCCAGACUCCUACGGGAGGCAGCAGUAGGGAAUAUUGCACAAUGGGGGAAACCCUGAUGCAGCAACGCCACGUGUGGGAAGAAGCAUUUCGGUGUGUAAACCACUGUCAUGAGGGAAUAAGGCCCUUAUCCGUAAGGGACUUGAAUGUACCUUGAGAGGAAGCACCGGCAAACUUCGUGCCAGCCGCUGC
rnacentral:rRNA from 1 species